UAAGAGUAACAGCUAAGACUUGAAAGCCUCAUAUAGAGAGCUGUGCAGCAAGAUUUCUAUUAAUUGUUUAUUGUGAUCUCCAACAAAUAUCAGUGAUCCAGUUGCUCCUGUGUAUAUCAAGACUGCUGUAAGUUAGCCAACCUGCCAAGUCAGUAUUGCUCUUGUCUUUAAAGGACUCAUGAAAAACUCUGCUGUUUCAAGUUAGAAAGCCUGUGUAAAUCAGUACUCUUUUCUUGUAAUGGACACAAUGAACAACUGUUGUUCCAAGACCAGAUAGUCAGUACCCUUGUCAUGUAAUAGACACAUAAAAGACAGCUGCUUCAAGUUAACCACCUUGAAGUUAGUCAGAACCCCAAUUUUGUUAUGGACACAUGAAAGAAGCCUGCUCUAAUGAACACAAGACAGCUGCUCCAAGUUAACUACCUUGACAUUAGUCAGAACCUUAAAAUUGAAAGAAGCCUGAUCAUUGUGAUAUUCCAACUCCAGGUGUCUGCAUUUGUCAGCAAUCUUCCAAGGAAGAUUAUAAUGAAAUUAGAUGUUUUGUGUUGGUGAUCUCUUCAGGAACAUCUGAUUCAAAGAGUUUAGAGGCUGCUACCCAAAAAAA
rnacentral:sRNA from 1 species